rnacentral:lncRNA from 1 species
UGGUUGUAUUCAAUAUUAUUUGAAUGUAAGAAAAAUACAAAACUUAAUAAACUACUCAUGAAUACUGAUAAUAAAAUUAAUGACAAGAGCAUACAUUUGGAUAUUAAUACACGCUUUUUCAACAAACAUACAACCUUAAAUAUCUAAACUAUUUGCAAACGAUUUGUGAUAAGCUUGGCAAUAUGGUUUGUUUGGAUAUGGUUGUAAACUGGCCUACACUCUUCACCUAUUCCUUCAUCACACAUCAUUACACCCCUCAGGAUACAAGGAAGAAAUCCGAUUAAUGGAGCAUAUGUGUGUGUAUAUAUAUAUGAACAAGCAUACAAACAUAUAUAUAUGUAUCUUAUGUAAGCAUGCAUGUGCAUGGGUGUCGGAUUGUGGCUUCUCUUGAGAUAACUUUUGCUUUAAUUAGUGAUAAAGUAAGAGCACUUUUAUCGAGUAGUAGUCAAAAAACAUUGGGGCACACAAAAAAAAGGAAACAUUAGGGCAAGGCUAUCGCGACGUGCAUAACAAGAAUAAUUUUAUUUGGAUAAUAAUAGUUUCUUCUUUCAUGUAUUUUCUUCCUGAUUUUAUCCACUUCUUGUCCUCGAAUUUUUCUAUAGGUUUGAUAUUUUGGAUCACAAACCCAAACUAUUUGCUAAUAUCAUUAAAUAAAAAUAGAUAGCUAUACAAUUAUUUUUCUAUAUAAAAUGUGUGAUAGCUGCUAGUUGCCAACAUGCAAUCACAAAAUGCCUCGCUAAAGAUAAAAUCACAUAAUACACUAGCAUUCCUUAAAUCAAUAUAAAUGAUAAACAACUUCUCUAAUUAUAUGUUGAAUCUGGAUCGGAUAUCAAUGGAGGAAAAUUACAUCGCACAUUUUGGCAGUUGAUAAAUUUUCUUUGUAAAAUAAUAAAAAAAGACCAAAAUAAUUAUGAUAUGUUAAUUCUUUUGAAAUCUAUAAGGAUUUUUCAUUUGUGUCCAUGUGACAUUUUGUAAUACAUUAAUUAUAUUUAUAAUGCACCAUCAAGUAGGAAAUGAUGGGGGAAGUAUAUGUGCGGUGUAGAUUUUUUCAACAUAGAAUACAUUAAUCAUAUAUACAACAACAAAGUUCAUAAAGCGGUGCCACACAUUGACCUUGUACAUAUCCCAAGUGAUGGCACAUCUUAUUGCAUUUUGGGUACUCGGUCCAGCAUAAUCCGAUACACCAAUAUCUCGCUUGUGCUGUGAUAACAAAGAAAAAUUGGAAUUAGCAAACACAUUUACGCUUGCUUGAUCAAAUAUUUAGAAAACUGGGCAAAACUAAGGUGUGCUGUAAGAAUGUUGAACAAUAGAGAGUGAUGUUUAAAGGACUUCAUGUUUGCAUAUUCUUUCUAUUUUCUACACUAAGAUGGAAGAAGAUAUGCACCAUAAGUGAAGAACAUGGCAAGAACUAUGACGGCCAUGAAAAUUUUAUUG